UACGAAGGCCCCAAGCGUUAUCCGGAUUUAUUGGGCGUAAAGCGUUAAUCGGCGGCGAUGUCAGUCAUUGGUCAAAUCUUCGGGCUCAACCCGGAGGCAGCUGGUGAUACUGCAUUGCUUGAGGCUGGUAGAGGCAAACGGAACUAUCGGUGUAGCGGUAGAAUGCGUUUAUAUCGAUAGGAACACCAAAGGCGAAAGCAGUUUGCUGGAACAGUCCUGACGCUAAAUAACGAAAGCGUGGGGAGCGAAUGGG
rnacentral:rRNA from 1 species